rnacentral:miRNA from 1 species
CGAGGAGGCGGUAUUGUUUGAA